rnacentral:lncRNA from 1 species
GGAGUGUGUUACUAGUGACAAUGGACUCUUUGUGGCUUACGGUUUAAUGAAGAAUAUUUUUAAAAGAAGACUUUGUGCUCUCAGGGUAAUUUAUGUUGGAACAAGAGAGUCUAUAAACUGCAGGUGUCUCAUUAAAUUCUGCUGGUGAUUAGAAGAAGCAGCCAUGUGCAGAGAUGUUCAUCAGGGGCUCCAUGAUUUGUGUUGUCAUGCCUGUUUUUUUUUCUUGAUAGCUACACACUACUUAGCGUUGUUGCUCAGCUGCUAUGAGCAGAACUCUGCAAAAAUAGCAGGUUUCCAUUCAGAAGUGAAUGGCAUUGGGCCAACUAUUGAUUUACGGACUGACAUAUACCCCUGUAUAAUGACUGCAAGAACGCUUGGAGAGACCUGCAAAGUGUGGCUUUAUACAAUGACACUGUAGAGAAGGAGGCUGAGAAAGUUUGUCUGUAUUCCCAGUUCUGAUUAAAUAGCUUGGCCCGAAGGCAAGAUGGAUACGUGCCCAUUUCUUCCCACCCCUGAUCUGAGAUUGAAAACAGCAACCUGGUAUAAUGCUUAAAUAUAUAUGUAUAUGACUUUUAAAAUAAUUAUUUGGGAGAUGAAGUUAUAACAUUCAAACUUCUAACACUA